GACGAACGCUGGCGGCGUGCUUAACACAUGCAAGUCGAACGGAAAGGCCCUGCUUUUGUGGGGUGCUCGAGUGGCGAACGGGUGAGUAACACGUGAGUAACCUGCCCUUGACUUUGGGAUAACUUCAGGAAACUGGGGCUAAUACCGGAUAGGAGCUCCUGCUGCAUGGUGGGGGUUGGAAAGUUUCGGCGGUUGGGGAUGGACUCGCGGCUUAUCAGCUUGUUGGUGGGGUAGUGGCUUACCAAGGCUUUGACGGGUAGCCGGCCUGAGAGGGUGACCGGCCACACUGGGACUGAGAUACGGCCCAGACUCCUACGGGAGGCAGCAGUGGGGAAUAUUGCACAAUGGGCGGAAGCCUGAUGCAGCCACGCCGCGUGCGGGAUGACGGCCUUCGGGUUGUAAACCGCUUUCGCCUGUGACGAAGCGUGAGUGACGGUAAUGGGUAAAGAAGCACCGGCUAACUACGUG
rnacentral:rRNA from 1 species